rnacentral:rRNA from 1 species
GACGAACGCUGGCGGCGUGCUUAACACAUGCAAGUCGAGCGGUAAGGCCCUUUCGGGGGUACACGAGCGGCGAACGGGUGAGUAACACGUGGGUGACCUGCCCUCAGCUCUGGGAUAAGCCCGGGAAACUGGGUCUAAUACCGGAUAUGACUCCAUGACGCAUGUUGUGGGGUGGAAAGCCUUGUGCGGCUGAGGAUGGGCCCGCGGCCUAUCAGCUUGUUGGUGGGGUGAUGGCCACCAAGGCGACGACGGGUAGCCGGCCUGAGAGGGCGACCGGCCACACUGGGACUGAGACACGGCCCAGACUCCUACGGGAGGCAGCAGUGGGGAAUCUUGCGCAAUGGGCGAAAGCCUGACGCAGCGACGCCGCGUGAGGGAUGACGGCCUCGGUGUAACU